rnacentral:misc_RNA from 1 species
GAAGAACCCCAUUUUGACCAAGAAUUUACAUGGGGACCGACAGUGGCAGCUGAGUUGGAGCCUAACUCCCGCGAACUGAGGCUACGUAGCUGCUGUUGCUGUUUCUCACGUUGAGCCAACAUAGACACUCGAGGGCUCAUAGGGGAAAUGGGUUCUACAUUUCGAGGUGACAUCCUGCCUGAUGCAAGAGAGGCCUGCAACAGAGGAUGAUCAACAUUCUUUGGAGAAAAAUUUGUGUUGAUUGGUGAUAACAUGCUUUGCUGCUGCUGGAACUGAUUGAGAACUGCAGACUUGUGAGUUGGAGAGAAAAC